UACGUAGGGGACAAGCGUUAUCCGGAUUUACUGGGCGUAAAGCGCCCGUAGGCGGCUUUUUAAGUUGGACGUGAAAGCUCCCGGCUUAACUGGGAGAGGCCGUUCAAAACUGAGAGGCUAGAGUGAGGCAGAGGAGCGCGGAAUUCCCGGUGUAGUGGUGGAAUGCGUAGAUAUCGGGAGGAACACCAGUGGCGAAAGCGGCGCUCUGGGCCUAAACUGACGCUGAGGGGCGAAAGCGUGGGGAGCGAACGGG
rnacentral:rRNA from 1 species